rnacentral:rRNA from 1 species
UACGAAGGAUUCGAGCGUUAUCCGGAUUUAUUGGGUUUAAAGGGUGCGUAGGUGGUUUACUAAGUCAGUGGUGAAAGCCCGCAGCUUAACUGCGGAACUGCCAUUGAUACUGUUAGUCUUGAGUACAGUUGAGGUGGGCGGAAUGUGUCAUGUAGCGGUGAAAUGCUUAGAUAUGACACAGAACACCGAUUGCGAAGGCAGCUCACUAAGCUGUAACUGACACUGAGGCACGAAAGUGUGGGUAGCAAACAGG